rnacentral:rRNA from 1 species
GACGAACCGUGCGAACGUUGUUCGGAAUCACUGGGCUUAAAGGGCGCGUAGGCGGGCGGCAAAGUCAGGGGUGAAAUCCGGCAGCUCAACUGUCGAAUAGCUUCUGAUACUGGUCGUCUUGAGGGGGGUAGGGGCAUGUGGAACUUCCGGUGGAGCGGUGAAAUGCGUAGAUAUCGGAAGGAACGCCGGUGGCGAAAGCGACGUGCUGGACCCUUUCUGACGCCGAGGCGCGAAAGCCAGGGGAGGCAAACAGGG